CUCCUCCCGGAGGCCCGCCCGAGGGAAUUUUUCGCCAAGGGCGAGAAAUCGUACCGCCACACCACCCCGUGAGUGAAGAAAGGCCUUCGGGUCGUAAAACUCUGUUUUAGGGGAGGACAAGUCCCAGUGAAUACGCUGCACCUGACGUNCACCAGAGCAGUCAUGG
rnacentral:rRNA from 1 species